AAACAUCAUGGAGCCAAUUUUCCUGAAGCGGGAUUGACAAGCACCCGCCUCUCUCUGCUCCAUCCCAGUGCCCUGACUGAGGCGGUGCCCGGGGGAGACCUCAGCACCAGCCUGGCUCCCAGCGAAUCCGCAGCCCCUCUCUGGCUGGGCUGCUGUCCAUCCCCAGCCGGUGGGCUGCGGCCCCAUUGGGAGGGCAGUGUCUGUGUGUAUCAUGGGGACUCAGGAGCCCCAGACACCCUGGACUCUGUGCCAGCACCAUCUCUUCUUGACUGUCACAGCCCCCUGGGUGGGGAUAACUGCCAUCGGUUAAACAAACCUGCCCCCUUUUCUCCAAACCGUAGCAUCUUACCACCCCACCCUCCUUCCUGGCCUUUCUUCCUUAUCCUCAAACCUUCCUGCUUCCUCCCCUGCCGUCUUCCAACUCUGCUUCUCCUUUGGUUUUGCAGGCACUUCUUUGCUCCUCUGCUGCGUUCCAGGCACUGUUCUGGUGCCGGGCAACAGAAGGGCACAGGCCCUGCCUCUGAACGCCGCUGGGUCCCAUUCAUCUUCCUUCUGCCUCGUGGACAGUUCGCAAGUGACCUCCCCCUGGAACUCUGGAGCCACUUCAGCAGAAGAGGGAGGCAGCUGUCCUUCUAAGGGGCCUUCUGUCGUGCUUACGGUACAGACAAUAACAUGGGGCUGGUGUCUCUGUGACCCAGGAGCCCCUCCCCAGGCAGCGCCUGCCCUCGCCCUGGCUCAGGCCCCAAGGACCACCUGCCUCUGGCCUGUAUCUAGGGCCACACCAGUGACAUCUCCAAGCCUCGGUGUUCUCACCUGUCACAUGGUGACGUCACACCUGGCUUUCCUGCCCUCUGACUGAGCAAGUGAAAUCCCCAGUAAAAGGGGGUGAUGCAAACACCCCCUGGGUCAGAACCAGGAGAAUCUGCUGGGUCGUCCCGGGACCAAAGACGAACACGGUGAUGAAGAAACUGAUGCCAAGGUAGCGCAUCGCACUCGGAGGUGAGGGGUGGCAGCUUCUCCUGGAUUUUGCUUCCAUUUGUACAAAAAGAGAAAACCGUUUUUUUUUUUUUUUCCUUUUUUCCGGCCAAGAAUCCCGUUCCUCACAGCAGGAGUUAGGAGAACAGCACCGGCAGGCAGGGGGCUCGGCUGGGCCUUAGGGUCGGGGCAGCAGCGGCAGCAGCAGAGGCAAGGCCUCGGGAGCCCCUCACGGCACCCGUAGCCACAGCAGGUCUCUUUGUGGCCUGGGAGGGGCCCACGUGCUCCUUAGCAGGAGAGGGCUCCUGGCGGCUUCAGAGGUCUCUGUCUGGGCCCCUGUCCUCCCAGGCGGGCCACCCACAUCCACCUAACACAGUUCCCGAUUCCUCUGCUUGGAGGGUGGCAGAAAAAUUA